GAUGAACGCUGGCGGCGUGCCUAAUACAUGCAAGUCGAGCGAAGCUGGGACGGGUGAGUAACACGUGGAUAACCUCCUAUAAGACUGGGAUAACUUCUGGAAACCGUAGCUAAACCGGAUACUUAUAGAUGGACCCCCGCUGCAUUACCAAGUGGGUAGGGUAACGUCUUACCAAGGCAACGAUGCAUAGCCGACCUGAGAGGGUGAUGGGCAACACUGGAACUGAGACACGGCCCAGACUCUUACGGGAGGCACAAGUAGGGAAUCUUCCGCAAUGGGCGAAAGCCUGACAGGGAAAGGCCGCGGAGGUGAUAAAGGUCUUCGGAUCGAAAGACUUUGUUAUUAGGAAAGCGGUACCUAACCAGAAAGCCACGGCUAACUACGUGCCAGCAGCCGCGGUAAUUC
rnacentral:rRNA from 1 species